rnacentral:rRNA from 1 species
CCUACGGGGGGCAGCAGUGGGGAAUAUUGCACAAUGGGCGCAAGCCUGAUGCAGCCAUGCCGCGUGUGUGAAGAAGGCCUUCGGGUUGUAAAGCACUUUCAGCGGGGAGGAAGGCGUUAAGGUUAAUAACCUUGGCGAUUGACGUUACCCGCAGAAGAAGCACCGGCUAACUCCGUGCCAGCAGCCGCGGUAAUACGGAGGGUGCAAGCGUUAAUCGGAAUUACUGGGCGUAAAGCGCACGCAGGCGGUCUGUCAAGUCGGAUGUGAAAUCCCCGGGCUCAACCUGGGAACUGCAUUCGAAACUGGCAGGCUAGAGUCUUGUAGAGGGGGGUAGAAUUCCAGGUGUAGCGGUGAAAUGCGUAGAGAUCUGGAGGAAUACCAGUGGCGAAGGCGGCCCUCUGGACAAAGACUGACGCUCAGGUGCGAAAGCGUGGGGAGCAAACAGGAUUAGAUACCCGUGUAGUC